AAAGUACUCCCUCCGUCCCAAAAUUCUUGUCUUAGAUUUGUCUAGAUAAGGAUGUAUCAAGUCACAUUUUAGUAUUAGAUACAUUCGUAUCUAGACAAAUCUAAGACAAGAAAUUUGGGACAGAGGAAGUAGUUG
rnacentral:pre_miRNA from 1 species